rnacentral:rRNA from 1 species
UUUCUUAAAGAAUUAAUUUUAAGUAAACCCUGCUCAAUGUAAAAUAAAUAGCCGCAGAAUAUUACUGUGCUAAGGUAGCAUAAUCAUUUGUUUCCUAAUUAGAGACUAGAAUGAAGGGGUAAACAUUUAUAAUCUAUAAAAAAUUUAACCACAAAAAUUAGACUAAAUAUAAAAAUAUAUUUAUAAAAAAGAAAGACGACAAGACCCUGUCAAACUUUACUAAAGUUAGACUGGGGAAGUCAUUUAAUAAAAAUUUUAAUAAUUUUUAAAAAUAAAAAUUCCUAAAAAAUUUAGAAAAACAAGUUACUGCAGGGAUAACAGCGUAAUAAAUUUUUAAAGCUCGUAUUUAAAAAAAAAAUUACGACCUCGAUGUUGAAUUAAUAACCUGAGUGAAGAAAAAAUUUCAUAAGGAAGCCUGUUCGGCUUUUAAUUAAUUACA